rnacentral:rRNA from 1 species
GAUGAACGCUAGCGGCAGGCUUAAUACAUGCAAGUCGAGGGGUAGCAAGAUUGUAGCAAUACAAUUGUUGACGACCGGCAAACGGGUGCGGAACACGUACACAACCUUCCUACAAGUGGGGAAUAGCCCAGAGAAAUUUGGAUUAAUACCCCGUAACAUAGCGAUGUGGCAUCACAUUGCUAUUAUAGCUUCGGCGCUUGUUGAUGGGUGUGCGGCUGAUUAGAUAGUUGGCGGGGUAACGGCCCACCAAGUCUACGAUCAGUAGCUGAUGUGAAAGCAUGAUCAGCCACACGGGCACUGAGACACGGGCCCGACUCCUACGGGAGGCAGCAGUAAGGAAUAUUGGACAAUGGACGCAAGUCUGAUCCAGCCAUGCCGCGUGAAGGAUUAAGGUCCUCUGGAUUGUAAACUUCUUUUAUAAGGGACGAAAAAAGGUCUUUCUAGAUCGUCUGACGGUACCUUAUGAAUAAGCACCGGCUAACUCCGUGCCAGCCGCCGCCGCCGUAA